ACAGGUGCACUCUGGCUUUUACCAUUCCCAUUUGUUGAAGGAAAUGCAUGGCUGUUCUCACCAUCAAUUGCUUCAACUGUUUUACUUUUUGUAACACCAUUUCCAUUUACUGAUGACAUAUUCUUCUCACCCUUCUCCAUAGAAAUUGAGGGUUUCAGAUCCCCAUCUUUCCGUUGGAUUGACUUUUAUUAACAAUUUUUCCAUUAACAGUUGCAGGAAACUUUUUGGUAGCAGAAUUUCCAAAGCCACUCAAGUUGUCCUGUGGACCAGAAAGCACUUUAUUGACCUUAGAUCUGGUCAAAUUAUCCUUUACAAAAGAAUGAUCAACAGUUUGUUUCGUAGACACUGCUUUUGUUGAAUGGGCUACCUUUUGGCUUUUAGAUGCAUCACUACCAUUGCACUCUUGAGAUUUCACACCAUUCGAAGCCAAUGCAGUGUUGGUAGGUACUGGCCUUUGUUUAGUACGAGAAAAGAAAAGGAUGUAAACCUUCUCUGACAAAACUACUCAAGUGGUUUAGGCAAAGACGCAAGAAACCUAUGUUGGAAGCGCUCGAGAAAAUUAAAGCCGAAACGGUGGUCUCGCCAUUGAUCAACAUCAAGCUCCGUGACUGUCCACCCUUCCUCGGCUCCCACCCUCCCAAUAUGAGAGGUAUUUUAUUUCUUCAGUUCUUCAGUUCUUAUGCAAGUGAUAUACGCA